CCUACGGGAGGCAGCAGUAGGGAAUAUUGCUCAAUGGGCGAAACCCUGAAGCAGCAACGCCGCGUGCAGGAUGACGGUUUUCGGAUUGUAAACUCCUUUUGUUAGAGAAGAUAAUUACGGUUUCUAAUGAAUAAUCACCUGCCAACUCCGUGCCAGCAGCCGCGGUAAUACGGAGGGUGCAAGCGUUAAUCGGAAUCACUGGGCGUAAAGAGCGCGUAGGCGGGAUAGCAAGUCACAUGUGAAAUCCUCUGGCUUAACCAUAGAACUGCAUUUGAAACUGUUAUUCUAGAGUGUGUGAGAGGUAGGUGGAAUUCGUGGUGUAGGGGUAAAAUCCGUAGAGAUCAAGAGGAAUAUUCAUGGCGAAGGCGACCUGCUAGAACAUAACUGACGCUGAUGCGCGAAAGCGUGGGUAGCAAACAGGAUUAGAUACCCGUGUAGUC
rnacentral:rRNA from 1 species